rnacentral:rRNA from 1 species
AUGAUCUUCAAGCAGGAGCGGGACGACAAGAUAGAAGAUGCAUCCCUGGAAGAAGGUUUCGGCGAGGACGAUCCAUGCACCGGAGCGUUGGCUGACGAUGAUGGUGGUGACUCGGAUGUGGACGACGGAUCUGACAUAAUGUAUGCUGUCGAGGAAGUUGAAUCCGUUGGGGAGGAUCAAAGCAAUGGUGUACGCGGGCAGAGCACUCUUCUUUCAGUUCUCUGUGUGGUGUCCGUCCUGACGCAAGGAAGAAUUCGGGAGUGCAUUAAAAAGUGUGAUGCCAAUGUGUAUGUGAUGCUUUCCGAUUGUCAACCCCAGUUUCUUGUAUAUAUAAGCGUAAAAAGUUUUUCUGCUUUGCCAUCCUGGAUUAGAAUACACAACACUCUGUAA